rnacentral:tRNA from 1 species
GCCGAAGUGGCGGAACUGGUAGACGCGCACGUUUGAGGGGCGUGUGGCGCAAGCCGUGCCGGUUCGAGUCCGGCCUUCGGCA